UGGAUGAUAAGAAUUAUAUUAUGAUCAAUAUGCCAAAGAAAAAGUUGAGAGACCACAAGAACAUUUUAUUACACUGCAAAGGAAAUACAGAGAAAGCUUACAAUCAACUAGAAAAGAAAUAUUCCAACAAUGAAAAAAAUUCAGUGUUAUCCUCCAUUGUUGAAGAAUUAACAUAGUCGUCACCAAGAAACAAGUCAUUAAAUGAAGGAUUCUCAUCUCUGAACUCCCAUUCAAAAGAAGUAUUGAUAUGGUGAUCCAAGUCAUUGGAGGAGAAGGACGGUGAAAAUUGUUCAUUUUGACUGUAUGAAGUAGUGAUCUUAUCAUUCAUCCAACUAAAAUUUUGAUCACCAAUACAAAGAGACGUAGCACAUCUCUCGAUGCCAUUAGAGAAAAAUAAUGGGGGUUCAAAUGUAGUACCCAUAUCAUAGUGAUAGUUCUCAAUAUCUUGGGUGCCAUUGUUGGUAUUGUCUGUAAACAUAGUAGAGUUUAGAGGCAACAUCUGCAUAAAAGCAACAUUGUUCUUGUUUCCAUCAACGUUCACCAUAUUUUGAUCAAUGCAACCAUCUUGAUAAGUAGAAGUUGAUAAAUUUUGAAACACAA